CGCGAGAUAGAGCAGUCUGGUUAGCUCGUUAGGCUCAUGCCCUAAAGAUCGAAGGUUCAACUCCUUCUCUCGCUA
rnacentral:tRNA from 1 species